CGUGUAGGCGGGUAUAUAAGUCAGAAGUGAAAUCCUAUAGCUUAACUAUAGAACUGCUUUUGUAAACUGUAUACCUAGAAUGUGGGAGAGGUAGAUGGAAUUUCUGGUGUAGGGGUAAAAUCCGUAGAGAUCAGAAGGAAUACCGAUUGCGAAGGCGAUCUACUGGAACAUUAUUGACGCUGAGACGCGAAAGCGUGGGGAGCAAACA
rnacentral:rRNA from 1 species